UUAUUUUAAUUUAAUUAUGUAAGAAAUAAAGAAGAAUUUAAUGAUGAGACCAUGGCAAUAUCUCAGUUAUCCAAAAUUCUCAAGUUAUUGUUUAUUUUGAGCAUUUGCACUAUACGCUUUCCAGUUAUCUUUGUGGUGUGACUGAAUAUUUUUAGACAUUUCACCAAAUAUAAAAUUCAGGAAAUAGGCCAUGUCAAACUGUGUUAAAGAUCUUGCUUAAUUUACAAAUUGCAUCUUUGUUGCCUAUCUGAGAAGCAUUACUAUAAUGAUUUUAAUUUAUGCAUUGCAGACAGGACAAAUGAAGAUGGACAAGGAACUUUUCUGACUGAUCAUUUUCAUAAAAGGGAGAAAACACUGGAAAGACGAGUUUGCGUAUCUUGAAAGAGAAGUGAAGGAACUUAAGAAAAAAAUGAAUGAGGCCGAAUCUAGAAACAAAGAAACAAGGGAAAUCGAGGUUUCCCCAAGUCAAGUUCUGUUUUGGGUACAACUGAACUAUGUUUGACAGAGUUACUUCUCAAAUGUUCAGCAUGAGACUUUUUGCCAUGUAAAUGAACUCCGUCACCAGGUCAUGGAUAUGUCAGAAGACGAACUGAAGUUACUAGCUGAUCAUAUGGGACACUCGAUUUCUAUUCACACUUAAGUAUACAGACUACAGACGUCCAUUCUUGAAAGAACAAAAGUUGCAAGGGCUCUCUUUGCCCUAGAAGAUGGAAACUUGAGAAACUUUAGAGGAAGAGCUUUAUCUUCAAUUCCAAUUGAAGAAUUGCCAGAACCAGAGCAACAAGAUGAAAAUGUGGAUGUAAUUGAAGAUGAAGUAGUAGAUGCAGACAGCUCAGUUGGAAAUGUUAUGGAUUAUGGAGAAAUAGAUGCUUAUGAUUCUGACUCUGAACCUGCAAAAUAUGACAAUGUGAAGAAGACUUCAUCUAGAGGUACAAAGAAACGAUGGUCAGCUGAAGAGGAAGACUGUCUUAAUAAAGCCUUUGGGAUACAUAUCCAAAACAAAAAAAAUGUCUCUUCGUUUGAAAUAAGAAAAGCACAAAAGCAGUACCCCAUUUUACUGCAAAGGUCUGAAGCAGUCAUACGCUCAAAAAUCAACAAGACUGUGUUAGGAAAGUUAAAGAAACAUUAAAAUACGAUGUGUAGAUUGAAAAUUAUGUUAUGAAAAUAAUAUUAAAAAGAACUAACAAAGAUGUUUGAAGCUGUGUGUAAAAAUGACAUUGAGUUUCAUAAAUUAUAUUGAAUGUCAUACAUUACAUUGAUAAGUUGCACUCAGAGUCAUUAGUUACCUUGAAAAGUGACAUUCUUUAUCAAUGGUGACUUUAAUAAGUUACAUUGUGUUAAGUUUACUUGAUGAGUUACAUUAAGUGUCAUAUGUUACCUUGAAAGGUUACAUUAAGUUUCAUAAGUUACAUUGAUGGGUGACAUUAAGUUUCAUUUUUAAGUGGGUUAGUUACUUUAAGUGUCAUUAGUUACAUUGAAAAGUUGCAUCGUCAUUUGUGAUUUGAUAAGUUACAUGAAGUGUCGAGUUUAAUUGAUGAGUUACAUCAAAUGUCAUUUGUUACCUUGGAAAGUUGCAUUAAAUGUCAUUUGGUUGUAUUAAGUGUUAUUUGUUACCUUGAAAAGUUGCAUAAAGUGUAAUUUGUUACUUUGUUAAGUUACUCAUUUUUAUGCCUCCGAAACUGGGGCAUAUUAAAAUCGCACCGUCUGUCUGUCCGUCCGCUCUUAGGGGAGAGACAUUGUGGGGUAUUUCUUAAGUCUAUAUGGUAUUUAUGGGGUUAAAAUCACAUGUGGGGUCGACCCCACAUGCUGAUUGAGAUUGAUCGUUAUUUUUGUCGUUCUGGGGUCUAGAAAAAAGACCCCACAAAUUAAAACCUAUUGUUGGUUGGACUCGGAGUACGGACAACACCGUAAAUUCUACAAAAAUUCCAAGGGAGACUAAUCUUAGAUGUUUUCUUAUCACGUGAUGCAAAACUAAUCGAGUGCUUCGGCUUUUUCCAUAGCCAGGGAGGUCAUUUUGAGCAUGCCCACUUCGCCGGCGCAUGCACAUGUGGAAUAAUGGCUGCCUUGUCAAGGUAAGAAUUGCUUGUGCUGUUUUAUUUUAAUGUCAAUAUAAGUGCAACAGUUUGCAGAACUUGCCUUAAGACAGCCAACUACAGGUAUAUAUUUGAAUGUGUGAUAUUUUUCUUUUGCUAUUUAUUUUUUUGUACUUACAAAAAAAGUUAAAAUGUUAUUUAAAGAUAUGGUAUGCCUUUUAUAAUGCAUAUUUUUUUGCCUGUUAUUGACAGUGUGAAAUCCCUGGCAUUGUAAAAUAUGUUGAAAGUCUCUCAUUCUACAGGAUGUACUAUGUGCAGGAAACAAUUAUUAUUUUCUACUCUUUACUUCAUCAAAUACUACUUUAAAUUACGAAGGGACUAAGAGUAUUCGAUCUGAUUUUACACACUAAUUAUAU